GGAUGAAUAGCUCAGUUGGUUAGAGCGCUUCGUUCACAUCGAAGAGGUCGCUGGUUCGAGUCCAGUUUCAUCCACCA
rnacentral:tRNA from 1 species